ensembl:lncRNA
CACAGUUCUUCAAGGAUCCCUCCGAUUUGAGGGAGGCUCAGACCUCCCUUUAUGCCUCAGACCCCUCCUGUGUUCUCCGACUCCCACAGUCCCUGACAGGACCCCCAUCACCAUCCCAGGACCCCCAUAGCCCACUGAUGAGGAACCUCGCAGCAAUCCACAUCUCAGGAUGGGGCUCCAGCUGUGCCCCAAUGCCUUCAUUAAAGACAGGAGAAUGAAUGAGCGUAACGGGGCACCUUUCCUCCUGACAUUACCAACUGCCUGCGUGUUGGCUGUGCCACGUGAGCGGCAUUUUGUCCUCGAGCUGUGAGUGCAGGUUUCAAAUGGAGUUUGUCCCCAAACCACCACCUGGGAUAUGCCGCAGGUCCUCAGGAGGCAUCCCUGCGGAGGGGAAACCAAAGGAAGAGGAGGCUUUGCCACCUCUCGCCCAGGGCAAGAAAGGUAAAGCAGCAUCCAGCGCCUUUCCAGGGCACAAGCCACCAACUUGAGAUGGGAAAUCCCUUGCUGACCAUCAGCCAAGGGCUCUGACUUGCGACAAAGCUUCCUGCCAGCUCAGCACAGCCUAUUCCCACGAGGAAUUGUUGGCCUCUCCAAAACCAAGGUGCUGGCUGUGACGUGCCCCCAUCCCUGGCUAUGGCAGGAGGACCUCGGCACCUCAGGCCCCGCCCUCCCCCAACAGAAGGAUAUGGUCCCCAAAAGUCACCCUGUCAGCUCAUCGUCACCACCCAGCUCCGCUUUCCCAAAGCCAGCGUCACUAAUGCACUCCCAAAAGAGAGUCCCAAGAUGGCAGAGAGGAGGAGUGGGGCCAGAGAUGGUUUCAGGGAGGGUCCGCGGGUGGCACAGAUGUCAGCAGUGGGGGGAGCAGAGCGGCCCUCACGCAUGUUCUGGGAACAGGCCUGAGCGCCCCUUGUAAGUGAGCCAAAGGGUUGAUGGUGAGUCUCCUCUGCCUUCCCAAUCCCAGUGAGAUUUGCUGGCAAGCCAACUUUCAUCAAACGCUUGAGCUCGGACAGUCUAGAUGGAGGAAAACUCCGAAGGAUAAGGAGCUUACUGCGCAAGGAGAGCUCUACGUCCAGGUGAGGCUGGAGGCUCUGGCUUGGCAUGUGCAUGGGGGUGAUUGACUGAGCCAACGAGAGCCCAUUCCCUAGCCCCAAAGGGUCCCUGUUUCUGGAUCCCACGGGGGAGAGCCACGGGGCAGCCGGUGAGCUGUCUGUGGGGAAGGCUGCGUUGCAGCCAAGGGUCCUGGCUCCGGCUUGCAGGAUGCGGCCCCAAAGCCAUCAUCCACUCAGGCGGACCCCUCCUGCUCUGUCCUUUCAGUCUGCUGCCAGCCAUCCCUGGAGUGCCUGAAGAACAAAAGCAGCCGCUGACCUGCCAGCUGCAGGGCCAGGCAGAAACAGACAGCCAAGAAGACCUGGGCCGAGCCCCAGGAACCAAACACGUGAGCUUCCGUGAGGAAGAACAGGAAGCGGAAAAAGCCCAUCGUGUGGCUGCAGUGCUGAAGUUGCCCAAAGCCAAUGAAUCUUUCAGCAAAGAUUCCAGACCUUCCUCAAGGGCUCAGUCCAGCCCGUCACAGGCAUCGCAAGGCACUCCAUCCCGGCUUCCACUUCUGGCAUGUGACUCAGUCAGACUUCUCAGGCGCAGGGCUAAGAAGAGCAGGCAGAAAGAACCUGAGGAGAUGGAAGCAUCAACAUCUCAGGCUGAGGCCAGCCAGCCGCAGGAGUCCUCUGCUGACAGAGCUGGAUUUCUGCCACCGAUAAACGAAGAAACACAGUCUCCUCAGCGUCAGCCCCCGGACACCAAAGCCCCACCGCGCAGGAAGGGCACACCCUACCCACGCUGAUGCAGGCAUGGGGCGCCCACGAGCUCCAAGACCUCCACUCGAGCUGGCUGCAAAACAGAUGCGUGAAUCCCAUCUGCAUCAUAUCUAAUCCUAGACUAGGCUGCCGAGUGCCCAAUCCAACCUGGCCUUCAACACUGCCACGGACGCGGCGUCCACAAGCUCUCUGGGCAUCCGCUUCCAGCAUCUCACCACCGUCUCUGGAAAGACCUUCUCCCUGACAUCCAAUCUUCAUUGUCCCUCCCUCUGUCAAUAAAGCCUUACCGUGGGCCUAUCCCAUACAAAUCUCCACAAUGCCUGUGGCAGUGUCAUUGCGUCUUUGGACGCCAGCUCUGGUGCUGGUGGAGGGAGAAAGAAUUGUGAGAGGGCAUCAGAACAUGUCACGAUGCUUUCCUUGAUGCCAAAGGAAAUCCAGCGUCUCGCUUGGCUCGGCUGUCUGAGCUUUUCUGCUGAAGGGGAAGACCAAAAAUGAAGUCAGCUUCAAAUUGGUGUGGCAGCUCAGAGCUCUCAGAGGAUACCAGGGAUCCUUGGGAGGCCCUUUCCAAGUGGAAUACUGCGUCCUAUAAAGAAUCACAGAAUCAUUGAAUCGUAGAAAUGCGUAGAAUCGUAGAAUAACCACAGUGACCAUCAAGUUUCACCUCCCACCCCCCUCCCCGCUAUGUGCAGUAUUGCCAGCCACUAGACCAAAAUGCCCCGUGCCAACUCCAGCCUGGCCUUGAAUGCCUCCAGGGAUGCAGCAUCCACAGCCUCCUUGGGCCAUUCCCCCUCCUGCUUAGAUGCUCCCUUUAAGUACUGGAAGGCCACCAGGAGGUCUCCAUGGAGCCUUCUCUUCGCCAAGCUAAACGAU